GAUGAAGAACGCAGCGAAAUGCGAUAAGUAAUGUGAAUUGCAGAAUUCAGUGAAUCAUCGAAUCUUUGAACGCACCUUGCGCCCUUUGGCUAUUCCGAAGGGCAUGCCUGUUUGAGUAUCGUGAACACCUCAACUCUCAUGGUUUGCCAUGAUGAGCUUGGACUUGGGGGUUUUGCUGGCCUUCGGUCGGCUCCUCUCAAACGGAUCAGCUUUCCAGUGUUUGGUGGCGUCACGGGUGUGAUAACUAUCUACGCCUGUGGUUUUCCACCAGGGUAACCUUCAGCAGUGGAGGUUCACUGGAGCUUACAAAUGUCUCUCCUCCGUGAGGACAGCCCUUUGAAUGUUUGAUCUCAAAUCAGGUAGGACUACCCGCUGAACUUAAGCAUAUCAAUAAGCGGAGGA
rnacentral:misc_RNA from 1 species